rnacentral:rRNA from 1 species
UGGGGAAUAUUGCACAAUGGGCGCAAGCCUGAUGCAGCCAUGCCGCGUGUAUGAAGAAGGCCUUCGGGUUGUAAAGUACUUUCAGCGGGGAGGAAGGUGUUGUGGUUAAUAACCACAGCAAUUGACGUUACCCGCAGAAGAAGCACCGGCUAACUACGUGCCAGCAGCCGCGGUAAUACGGAGGGUGCAAGCGUUAAUCGGAAUUACUGGGCGUAAAGCGCACGCAGGCGGUCUGUCAAGUCGGAUGUGAAAUCCCCGGGCUCAACCUGGGAACUGCAUCCGAAACUGGCAGGCUUGAGUCUUGUAGAGGGGGGUAGAAUUCCAGGUGUAGCGGUGAAAUGCGUAGAGAUCUGGAGGAAUACCGGUGGCGAAGGCGGCCCCCUGGACAAAGACUGACGCUCAGGUGCGAAAGCGUGGGGAGCAAACA